CAAACGACUCUCGGCAACGGAUAUCUCGGCUCACCCAUCGAUGAAGAACGUAGCAAAAUGCGAUACUUGGUGUGAAUUGCAGAAUCCCGUGAACCAUCGAGUUUUUGAACGCAAGUUGCGCCCGAAGCCAUUUGGUUGAGGGCACGUCUGCCUGGGCGUCACACA
rnacentral:rRNA from 1 species